rnacentral:rRNA from 1 species
AGCAGCCGCGGUAAUUCCAGCUCCAAUAGCGUAUAUUAAAGUUGUUGCAGUUAAAAAGCUCGUAGUUGAAUUUCGGGAUCAGCAGGUUGGUCUUGCCACUGGUAUGUACUAGCUUGCUGAUUCCUCCUUCUUGUAGAACCGUAAUGCCAUUAAUUUGGUGUUGCGGGGAAACAGGACUGUUACUUUGAAAAAAUUGAGUGUUUAAAGCAGGCCAGCGCCUGAAUACAUUAGCAU